rnacentral:rRNA from 1 species
GCUGGCGGCAUGGUUAAGACAUGCAAGUCGAACGGGAAGCAUUACUUCGGUUUUGUGGAAAGUGGCGAACGGGUGCGUAACACGUGAGCAACCUGCCCUUGAGUAUGGAAUAGCCCGACGAAAGUCGGAUUAAUGCCGUAUGUGGCCUUUCUUCGCAUGAUGAAAUGGCUAAAGCUUGUAAUGGCGCUCAAGGAUGGGCUCGCGGCCUAUCAGCUUGUUGGUGAGGUAAAGGCUCACCAAGGCUAAGACGGGUAGCUGGUCUGAGAGGAUGAUCAGCCACACCGGGACUGAGACACGGCCCGGACACCUACGGGUGGCAGCAGUUUCGAAUCAUUCACAAUGGGCGAAAGCCUGAUGGUGCAAUGCCGCGUGGAGGAUGACGGCCCUAGGGUUGUAAACUCCUGUCAUUGGGGAGCAACAAGCAGGUUUAUAGCCUGCCCUGAGUUAACCCAAAGAGGAAGAGGUGGCUAACUCCGUGCCAGCAGCCGCGGUAAUACGGAGACCUCGAGCGUUACUCGGAUUCACUGGGCGUAAAGGGUGAGUAGGCGGCCAAGUAUGUCGGGUGUGAAAUCCCGGGGCUUAACCCCGGAACUGCGCCCGAAACUACUUGGCUAGAGUCUCGGAGAGGAUAGUGGAAUUCCAGGUG